rnacentral:lncRNA from 1 species
GUAGGAGAGAUAGGAUUUCCUAACUGGGUCCCAUUUCUAUUGUGUCAUGUGAUGCCUAUUUGCAUUCUUAGUUUUCUUCUAUCUUUUACUUCCUCAAGUAGCUCCUGGAGAGUAGAUUCCAUGUCUCCCUCCAUUCUUGGUUGCUCCACAGAGUUCUUCUUCUACUACUGUUCUAGAGAAUAUUGUGGAAUGAAUGAAAGAGAGAAGGGAGGAAAAGAAAAAGAAGAAAAUUAUCAUGAUGUAACUUGUUAAAAACAAGUUUCAAGGAAAAGAAAUAGAAAAGUUGUGUCAGGUAUAGGGAAUAGAGAGAGAAUAUUUAUUCUCCCCAGUAAAUUGUUAGCUUUCCAACAGGGCCUAGUAAACAGAGAGGAGGGUACUAAGUUCAGCUGUACAAGGACAGAAGUUUGAUCUUAAUUAGACUGACGUGGGCAGAGGUGCCUCAACAUAUCCUGCUGAAUCUGAUUUCUCUUUUUUGAAAUCACAGAGAGGUAGGAGGAUAGAGCAAAAGUUCUUCACUUGGGUCCAUGGACCAGUUUUUAGAAUGUUUGUAAACUUGGAGGGGAAAAAAAUUGCAUCUUUGUUUUCACUAACCCUAUUUGAAUUUUGACAUUUCUUUCAAUUAUUUAAAAACAUUCUGGAAGGGCUCCAUGAGUUUCAUCCAAAAUCAAAAGGGUCUAUGACACAAAGAAAAAAAGGUUUGAGAUUUAAAUGAUGGUUCUGCUGCACCUGUUCAGUCUCUUGCUCCUAGAGCAAGCAUUCAUCGGAUCCUGCUUAGAGUCACAAGAAAAUGAAGAGCAACCACUGAUAGGUUCUGCCAUUCCUUGCCAGGGUUCUUGGAUAGCUGGAUUGCAUGGAAGAGAUGGACAAGAUGGGAGGGAUGGACUCAAGGGAGAAAAGGGAGACCCCGGUGAAAUACCUAGCUGUCCCCAGGUACAUCCACCACAGUUUGGACCUCCAGGAAUUUCGGGUCCACCAGGACCUCCAGGGAUCCAGGGCAGGAAAGGAGAACCAGGUGGUAAGGAAUUCUAUGCUUUCUAUCUUGUUUUAUUAUGGCUUUUUAUUUACAAGUUAUAUGCAUGGGUAAUUUUACAGCAUUGACAAUUGCCAAACCUUUUGUUCCAAUUUUUCCCCUCCUUCCCCCAUUCCCUCCCCUGAUGGCAGGUUGACCAAUACAUGUUAAAUAUUUUAAAGUAUAAAUUAAAUACAAUAUUAGUAUACAUGUCCAAACAGUUAUUUUGCUGUACGAAAAGAAUUGGACUUUGAAAUAAUGUACAAUUCACCUGUGAAGGAAAUUAAAAAUGCAGGUGGACAAAAAUAGAGGGAUUGGGAAUUCUAUGUAGUGGUUCAUAGUCAUCUCCCAGAGUUCUUUCGCUGACUGUAGCUGAUUCAAUUCAUUACUGCUCUAUUGGAACUGAUUUGGUUCAUCUCAUUGCUGGAGAUGGCCAGGUCCUUCAGAAUUUAAUGAUCUCCUGGUCCUGCUCAUUUCAUUCAGUUCAUGUAAGUCUCUCCAGGGCCUUUCUGAAAUCAUCCUGUUGGUCAUUUGUUACAGAACAAUAAUAUUCCAUAAUAUUCAUAUACCACAAUUUAUUCAGCCAUUCUCCAAUUGAUGGGCAUCUACUCAGUUUCCAAUUUCUGUAUGCCUUUUUUCUUAAUGGGUUUUGGGGUAGGUGGGAAGGGACUAUAUGUAGAGUAAAGGGAACUGAGAGAAGAAAUGGGAAGUAUUUUUAAGCUUUUUGUGUGUUCAGACCACUAUAAUGGGAUAACUCAUAAACUAGGUGAAAGAAAGCCAGAAUUGUCCCAGAAUGAAUAUGGAAUGCCCACAGAGGGGGCAGGGAUAUCCCCUGAGAGAAGAAUGACUGGGGUGAGGUGGGGAGCCAUUGAGUGUCAUGUAUUUUUUAAUGUUGUUCCACCCAAAGUAGGCACCAGCUUCUAUGUCUAAAUGCAUUAUGGAGAAAUUGUUCUAUACCUCAGGAACAACCAGAUACUGCCCAGAAGCACACUCAAGCAAAAUCAGGUCCAACCUCACCGAGCCAGUUCCAUACUGCCACCUUGGGGCUUGAAACUCAAAUAGGUUUGAACCUAAUGGGCUUUUCUCCCACUAGGUUCAAAACAAAGGGAAAUAAAUCUGUAGGAUGAAUAAUCUUAAAUAUAUUACCAUAUUGAAGGAAGUUUCUAAUUGAUUUUCCCUCACCCAGCAUGUUGGGGGGAUGGGGGGAAUGGGG